CAUAAAACAUCUCAAAGGGGUCUUGAGGUCAUCGUGGAAGGCUUGGAAAUUACUGGAGGUCUGUAGGACAAGGUGGAGACCCCAUAAAACAUCUCAAAGGGGUCUUGAGAUCAUCAUUAAAGGCUUGGAAAUUACUGGAGGUCUGUAGGACAAGGUGGAGACCCCAUGGAACAUCUCAAAGGGGUUUUGAGAUCAUCAUGAGAGGCUCCAAAGUCACUGGGGGUUUGUAGGACGAGGUGGAGACCCCAUAAAACAUCUCAGAGAGGUCCUGAGGUCGUCAUGAAAGGCUCCAAAGUCACUGGAGAUCUGUAGGACAGCAUUGAGACCCCAUAAAACAUCUCAGAGAGGUCCUGAGGUCAUCGUGAGAGGUUCCAAAGUCACUGGGGGUCUGUAGGACAGUAUGGUGACCUCGUGGAACAUCUCAAAGGGGUUUUGAGAUCAUCAUGAGAAGCUCCAAAGUCACUGGGGGUUUGUAGGACAGUAUGGUGACCUCAUGGAACAUCUCAAAGGGGUUUUGAGGUGGUUGUGAGAGGUUCCAAAGUCACUGGAGUUUUGUAGGACAGCAUUGAGACCCCAUAAAACAUCUCAAAGGGGUUUUGAGGUCAUCAUGAGAGGCUCCAAAGUCACUGGAGGUCUGUAGGACAGGGUGGAGACCCCAUGGAACAUCUCAGAGAGGUCCUGAGGUUGUUGUGAGAGGUUCCAAAGUCACUGGGGGUUUGUAGGAUGAGGUGGAGACCCCACAGAACAUCUCAGAGAGGUCCUGAAGUUGUCUAAAGUCACUGGGGGUUUGUAGGACAGCAUGGUGACCCCAUAAAACAUCUCAGAGAGGUCCUGAGGUCGUCGUGAAAGGCUCCAAAGUCACUGGAGAUCUGUAGGACAGCAUUGAGACCCCAUAAAACAUCUCAGAGAGGUCUUGAGGUCAUCGUGAGAGGUUCCAAAGUCACUGGGGGUUUGUAGGACGGCAUGGUGACCCCAUAAAACAUCUCAGAGAGGUCUUGAGGUCAUCGUGAGAGGCUCCAAAGUCACUGGAGGUCUGUAGGACAGUAUGGUGACCUCAUGGAACAUCUCAAAGGGGUUUUGAGGUGGUUGUGAGAGGUUCCAAAGUCACUGGAGUUUUGUAGGACAGCAUUGAGACCCCAUAAAACAUCUCAAAGGGGUCUUGAGGUCAUCAUGAGAGGUUCCAAAGUCACUGGGGGUCUGUAGGACAAGGUGGAGACCCCAUAAAACAUCUCAAAGGGGUCUUGAGAUCAUCAUGAAAGGCUUGGAAAUUACUGGAGGUCUGUAGGACAGUAUGAUGACCCCAUGGAACAUCUCAAAGGGGUUUUGAGGUCAUCAUGAGAGGUUUCAAAGUCACUGGGGGUCUGUAGGACAGCAUUGAGACCCCAUAGAACAUCUCAGAGAGGUCCUGAGGUCAUCUUGAGGGUCUCCAAAAUCUCUGGAGGUCUGUAGGACAAGGUGGAGACCCCGUAAAACAUCUCAAAGGGGUUUUGAGAUCAUCUUGAGGGUCUCCAAAGUCAUGGGAGGUCUGUAGGACAAGGUGGAGACUCCAUGGAACAUCUCAAAGGGGUCUUGAGGUCAUCGUGGAAGGCUUGGAAAUUACUGGAGGUCUGUAGGACAAGGUGGAGACCCCAUAAAACAUCUCAAAGGGGUCUUGAGAUCAUCAUGAAAGGCUUGGAAAUUACUGGAGGUCUGUAGGAUAAGGUGGAGACCCCGUAAAACAUCUCAAAGGGGUCUUGAGAUCAUGAAAGGCUUGGAAAUUACUGGUGGUCUGUAGGACAGUAUGGUGACCCCAUGGAACAUCUCAGAGGAGUUUUGAGGUCAUCAUGAGAGGCUCCAAAGUCACUGGGGGUCUGUAGGACAGCAUUGAGACCCCAUAAAACAUCUCAGAGAGGUCCUGAGGUCGUCGUGAAAGGCUCCAAAGUCACUGGAGAUCUGUAGGACAGCAUUGAGACCCCAUAAAACAUCUCAGAGAGGUCUUGAGGUCAUCAUGAGAGGUUCCAAAGUCACUGGAGUUUUGUAGGACAGCACUGAGACCCCAUAAAACAUCUCAAAGGGGUUUUGAGGUCAUCAUGAGAGGUUCCAAAGUCACUGGAGGUCUGUAGGACAGGGUGGAGACCCCAUAAAACAUCUCCAAGAGGUCCUGAGGUUGUUGUGAGGGUCUCUAGGAUCACUGGAGGUCUGUAGGACAGGGUGGAGACCCCAUGGAACAUCUCCAAGAGGUCCUGAGGUCACCUUGGGGACCCUUUGGUCACUGUCAGGGUCUGUAGGACACCGUGGGGACCCCACCUGGGCUCAGGGGGGUCCUUUCGGGGUCCCCAAGGCCACCUCAGGGACCCCAAGGCCACCUCAGGGACCCCAAGGCCACCUCAGGGUCCUCAAGGCCACCAUGAGGUCCCCAAGGCCACCUCAGGGUCCUCAAGGUCACCUCAGGGUCCCCAAGGCCACCUCAGGGUCCUCAAGGCCACCUCAGGGUCCCCAAGGCCACCUCAGGGUCCCCAAGGUCACCUCAGGGUCCUCAAGGCCACCCUGGGGUCAGCAGGGACCCCCAGACCUCCCCUCCCAG